GGUUCGAUUCUGGCUCCAGAUUGAACGCUGGCGGGAUACUUUACACAUGCAGUCGAACGGCAGCACGGACUUCGGUCUGGGCGAGUGGCGAACAGGUGAACUGGCGAUAAUGUCGGAACGUGCCCCUGAUAGCGGGGAUAACUACGCGAAAGCGCUAGCUAAUACCGCAUACGCCCUUCCAGGAAAACGGGGGACCUUCGGGCCUCGCAUAAUGAAACGGCCGAUAUCGGAUUAGCUAGUUGGUGGGGGUAACGGCUCGCAAGGCGACGAUCCGUAGCUGGUUUGAGAGGACGACCAGCCGCACUGGGACUGAGACGGCCCGAACUCCUACGAGAGGCAGCAGUGAAAUUUUGGACAAUGGGAAACCUGAUCCAGCCAUCCCGCGUGUGAUGAAGGCCUUCAGGUUGUAAGCACUUUUGGCAGGAAAGAAACGGCACAGAUAAUACCCCGUGCAACUGACGGUACCUGCAGAAUAAGCACCGGCUAACUACGUGCCAGCAACCGCGGUAAUACGUAAGUGCAAGCGUUAAUCGGAAUUACUGGGCGUAAAGCGUGCGCAGGCGGUUCGGAAAAGAAAGAUGUGAAAUCCCAGAGCAACUUUGAACUGCAUUUUUAACUGCAGAGCUGGGGUGUGUCAGAGGGAGGUGGAAUUCCGCGUGUAGCAGUGAAAUGCGUAGAUAUGCGGAGGAACACCGAUGGCGAAGGCAGCCUCCUGGGAUAACACUGACGCUCAUGCACAACGUGGGAGCAAACAGGAUUAGAUACCUGGUAGUCCACGCCCUAAACGAUAUCCAACUAGCUGUUGAGGCCUUCGGGCCUUGGUAGCAGCUAACGCGUGAAGUUGACCGCCUGGGAAGCCACGGUCGCAAAGAUUAAAACUCGAAGGAAUUGACGGGGACCCGCACAAGCGGAGGGUGGAUGAUGUGGAUUAAUUCGAUGCAACAUACCGAAAACCUUACCUACCCUUGACAUGUCUGAAUCUCAAGAGAUUUGGGAGUGCUCGCAAGAGAACCGGAACACAGGUGCUGCAUGGCUGUCGUCAGCUCGUGUCGUGAGAUGUUGGGUUUAAGUCCACCCAACGAGCGCAACCCUUGUCAUUAGUUGCCACGAAAAGGGCACUCUAAUGCGUUCUCGGUGACAAACCGGAGGAAGGUGGGGAUGACGUCAAGUCCUCAUGGCCCUUAUGGGUAGGGCUUCACACGUCAUACAAUGGUCAGAACAGAGGGUCGCCAACCCGCGAGGGCCAAUCCCGAAACCCGAUCUAGUCGGAUCGCAGUCUGCAACUCGACUGCGUGAAGUCGGAAUCGCCUGUCGCGGAUCAGCAUGCGGUGAAUACGUUCCCGGGUCAUGUACACACCGCCCGUCACACUAAUGGGAGUGGGUUUUACAAGAAGUAGUUAGCCUAAUAACCAUGUGGAAGGUAUGAAGAUUACCACGUACGGAUUCGCAUGACUGGGGUGAAGUCGUAACAAGGUAG
rnacentral:rRNA from 1 species